rnacentral:rRNA from 1 species
CUACGGGGUGCAGCAGUGGGGAAUAUUGGACAAUGGGCGCAAGCCCGAUCCAGCAAUGCCGCGUGAGUGAAGACGGCCUUAGGGUUGUAAAACUCUUUCGCUAGGGAAGAUAAUGACUGUACCUAGUAAAGAAGUCCCGGCUAACUCCGUGCCAGCAGCCGCGGUAAUACGGAGGGGACUAGCGUUGUUCGGAAUUACUGGGCGUAAAGAGUUCGUAGGCGGACUGACAAGUUAGAGGUGAAAUCCCAGGGCUCAACCCUGGAACUGCCUUUAAAACUGUCAGUCUAGAGACCGGAAGAGGUUAGGGGAAUACCUAGUGUAGAGGUGAAAUUCGUAGAUAUUAGGUGGAACACCAGUGGCGAAGGCGCCUAACUGGUCCGGUACUGACGCUGAGGAACGAAAGCGUGGGGAGCAAACAGGAUUAGAUACCCGAGUAGUC